UUUUCUUCUCCCUCUUUAUGUUUUCCCUCAUUCACUCUCUUCAUCCCUCCAUAUUUUGUUUUCCUCUAUCAUUUUCCUUUUUCCACAAAUUUUGUUUGUUCACACUGUUUCCUCCAUAGAAGAAAUGAUAUACUUGAAAAGAAGGGUCUCAAAUCCCCAUUUUAUUUAACGAUUGGAACCACUAUUGUUGGUUUAAUUUUUCAGAUCUGAAUAAUAAUGGUUUUAAUUUUUGUUUUAUGUUGCUUUCUCAAGUAUUUUCUUUGACUCAUUUGUUUUCAAUAAAAUGACAGAAUCUAUUUGUGAGAACAGGAAGAUAAAGAAGGAAGAGUAUGAAGUUUGAGAAAGCGUGUCUGGGGGGAAGGAAAGGAGAAGGACCAAGGAAGAAAGCUAUGACCAGAUCCGUCAGAUUCAGACUUCAAUUUCCCGUCGGAAAAUUUGGUCGUUACUUUAAGAAAGGUCCGGUUUGAAUGUGUAUUUGGACUCAUAAGCUCGACUUGGACUAUCUACGUUUUUUCGGUGUAGAUUCAAUUACAGGCAGCGAUGCAGGGCUGAAGUUUGCUUCGAAUGGUUUAAGUUUGCUCAAGACGUGUAGCUGAUUUAUAUGUUGAAUUGCAUGGUUUGAGCUUACCUUAACGCAAAGGAUUUGGAUCCAUCACUAUUGUCUUAAGAGCAUGUUCUUGAACCCUAACUCCCAAUUUCUGUGCUUCUCAGUCAGAAGAGGAUCAAAUAAAGUUCAAAAGUAAAAAAUGUGUUGAUUAUGGUUGUUUCGAUUCUGCUGGUGGUGGUUGGUGUUCGGCACAUUUUCGGAACUCUUUAAAGAAAGCAGACGACUUUUUGAAGGAACAGCACACACAAGCUAUUUCAAGUAUGUUCACCAAGUGUUGACGAAAUUAUGUAGGGAUUAUGAAAUAUGGAGGAUGAAUAUUGUUGAGAAAUGUAAUUAUUAUGUGUCCUUGCUUUUGGAAUAAAUUGCAAUUCAUUGAUUUGUGAAAAUCGGUUCUUGAAGAAACGAAUCAAAAGA